rnacentral:rRNA from 1 species
UACGUAGGGGGCGAGCGUUGUCCGGAAUGACUGGGCGUAAAGGGAGUGUAGGCGGCUCUUUAAGUUAUAUGUGAAAUCCCGCGGCUUAACCGUGGAAGUGCAUAUAAAACUGGGGAGCUGGAGUGCAGGAGAGGUGAGUGGAAUUCCUAGUGUAGCGGUGGAAUGCGUAGAUAUUAGGAAGAACACCGGUGGCGAAGGCGGCUCACUGGACUGUAACUGACGCUGAGGCUCGAAAGCGUGGGGAGCAA